rnacentral:tRNA from 1 species
AAGGAUUUAAGUUAAAUAAACUAUUAACCUUCAAAGUUAAAAAUAGAAUAAUUCUAAGCCUUA